UACGGGAGGCAGCAGUGGGGAAUAUUGCACAAUGGGCGAAAGCCUGAUGCAGCUAUGCCGCGUGUAUGAAGAAGGCCUUAGGGUUGUAAAGUACUUUCAUCGGGGAGGAAAAAACAAAACUAAUAAUUUUAUUUCUUGACGUUACCCGAAAAAGAAGCACCGGCUAACUCCGUGCCAGCAGCCGCGGUAAUACGGAGGGUGCUAGCGUUAAUCAGAAUUACUGGGCGUAAAGAGCACGUAGGUGGUUUUUUUAAGUCAGAUGUGAAAUCCCUGGGCUUAACCUAGGAAACUGCAUUUUGAAACUGAAAUACUAGAGUAUCGUAGAGGGAGGUAGAAUUCUAGGUGUAGCGGUGAAAUGCGUAGAUAUCUGGAGGAAUACCUGUGGCGAAAGCGGCCUCCUAAACGAAUACUGACACUGAGGUGCGAAAGCGUGGGGAGCAAACAGGGAUUAGAUACC
rnacentral:rRNA from 1 species